UAAUACAUGCAAGUCGAGCGAACACGAUAAGGAGCUUGCUCCUUUGACGUUAGCGGCGGACGGGUGAGUAACACGUGGAUAACCUACCUAUAAGACUGGGAUAACUUCGGGAAACCGGAGCUAAUACCGGAUAACAUAUUGAACCGCAUGGUUCAAUAGUGAAAGGCGGCUUUGCUGUCACUUAUAGAUGGAUCCGCGCCGUAUUAGCUAGUUGGUAAGGUAACGGCUUACCAAGGCAACGAUACGUAGCCGACCUGAGAGGGUGAUCGGCCACACUGGAACUGAGACACGGUCCAGACUCCUACGGGAGGCAGCAGUAGGGAAUCUUCCGCAAUGGGCGAAAGCCUGACGGAGCAACGCCGCGUGAGUGAUGAAGGUCUUCGGAUCGUAAAACUCUGUUAUCAGGGAAGAACAAAUGUGUAAGUAACUGUGCACAUCUUGACGGUACCUGAUCAGAAAGCCACGGCUAACUACGUGCCAGCAGCCGCGGUAAUACGUAGGUGGCAAGCGUUAUCCGGAAUUAUUGGGCGUAAAGCGCGCGUAGGCGGUUUUUUAAGUCUGAUGUGAAAGCCCACGGCUCAACCGUGGAGGGUCAUUGGAAACUGGAAAACUUGAGUGCAGAAGAGGAAAGUGGAAUUCCAUGUGUAGCGGUGAAAUGCGCAGAGAUAUGGAGGAACNNNNGUGGCGAAGGCGACUUUCUGGUCUGUAACUGACGCUGAUGUGCGAAAGCGUGGGGAUCAAACAGGAUUAGAUACCCCUGGUAGUC
rnacentral:rRNA from 1 species